UUCCGGUUGAUCCCGCCGGACCCGACUGCUAUUUGGGUGAGGAUAAGCCAUGCAAGUCGAAUGGGAUACCUAAAUUUCCCAUGGCGAACUGCUCAGUAACACAUGAUCAACUUGCCCUAUAGAGAGAAAUAACCUCGGGAAACUGAGGAUAAUUUUUCACAGUUGAAUUGGCUUGGAAAAGUUUUUCAAUAAAAAGGAUAAAGAAAAUGGUCUUUAUUCGCUAUAGGAUAGGAUCGUGUUCGAUUAUGGUAGUUGGUGAGGUAAAGGCUCACCAAGCCGAUAAUCGAUAGGGGCCGUGAGAGCGGGAGCCCCGAGAUGGGUACUGAGACAACGACCCAGGCCUUACGAGGCGCAGCAGGCGCGAAACCUCCACAAUACACGAAAGUGUGAUGGGGUUACCCAAAGUGUUCAUUAUUGAACUGUGGUAGGUGAGUAAUGUUCCCUACUAGAAAGGAGAGGGCAAGGCUGGUGCCAGCCGCCGCGGUAAAACCAGCUCUUCAAGUGGUCGGGAUAAUUAUUGGGCUUAAAGUGUCCGUAGCCGGUUUAGUAAGUUCCUGGUAAAAUCGGGUAGCUUAACUAUCUAUAUGCUAGGAAUACUGCUAUACUAGAGGGCGGGAGAGGUCUGAGGUACUACAGGGGUAGGGGUGAAAUCUUAUAAUCCUUGUAGGACCAUCAGUGGCGAAGGCGUCAGACUGGAACGCGCCUGACGGUGAGGGACGAAAGCCAGGGGAGCGAACCGGAUUAGAUACCCGGGUAGUCCUGGCUGUAAACGAUGCAUACUAGGUGAUGGCACGGCCAUGAGCCGUGUCAGUGCCGUAGGGAAACCGUUAAGUGUGCCGCCUGGGAAGUACGGUCGCAAGGCUAAAACUUAAAGGAAUUGGCGGGGGAGCACCACAAGGGGUGAAGCCUGCGGGUUCAAUUGGAGUCAACGCCGGAA
rnacentral:rRNA from 1 species